rnacentral:rRNA from 1 species
CAGUCGCCACGGGAAUACGUAGGGUGCAAGCGUUAAUCGGAAUUACUGGGCGUAAAGCGUGCGCAGGCGGUUAUAUAAGACAGAUGUGAAAUCCCCGGGCUCAACCUGGGAACUGCAUUUGUGACUGUAUAGCUAGAGUACGGCAGAGGGGGAUGGAAUUCCGCGUGUAGCAGUGAAAUGCGUAGAUAUGCGGAGGAACACCGAUGGCGAAGGCAAUCCCCUGGGCCUGUACUGACGCUCAUGCACGAAAGCGUGGGGAGCAAACAGGAUUAGAGACCCGCGUAGUCCCUGUCUCUUAUAC